rnacentral:tmRNA from 11 species
GGGGAUGCAAGGCAUAGACAGUCGGCCUUUUGUCAUUGAUGCAUGCCGAGAAUGAACGCAAUCUCGUGAAACUUCGUUCAAUAGCUUAAUUGCAAAAUUAGCUUCCAAGGCGUUUGCGAAAAUCUCUCCAUACUUCGGUAUGAAUGACUUCGCUUACGCUUCAAUUUCGGCUUCGGCCUAAGUUGAUGUCUCUUUUAUUGACUUCCGAUAUAUAAGUAGAGGCAUAAUAUUAUCGGGAUAGGAGAAAGAAUGUCCUGGCUUUCUUUCGAAACAAAGGGGCUCGAUUAAAAAAUAUUUGGCUCGUUUCUUAAUUUUUUAAUUUAAACAAAACAAGCGCGCUACGCAUGUAGACUUCUUUGCAAAAACCUUCUGCACACGAGUUCAAUUCUCGUCAUCUCCACCA